rnacentral:rRNA from 1 species
UACAGAGGGUGCAAGCGUUGUUCGGAAUUAUUGGGCGUAAAGCGCGUGUAGGCGGCUUUGUGUGUCGGGUGUGAAAGCCCUCGGCUUAACCGAGGAAGUGCGCCCGAAACUGCAGAGCUUGAGUGCCGGAGAGGAUAGCGGAAUACCCGGUGUAGAGGUGAAAUUCGUAGAUAUCGGGUGGAACACCAGUGGCGAAGGCGGCUAUCUGGACGGACACUGACGCUGAGACGCGAAAGCGUGGGGAGCAAACAGG